rnacentral:lncRNA from 1 species
AAAAGCUUUCCCUACCCCCUGCAUCUGUCCUCUCCAUCCCAGUCUCCAUGAUGCUCUGCUGGACCUUGACCUGCUGGGUGACUGGCUUACAAUGCAGCUGGGCUACCUUCACACUGGACCAGAUCAAGUGGUGGAGGCAGAGAGCAGGGGUUAUGGAGGACAGUCGGUGUGGACAGAAGCAUUUUGGCUCAGGCAGAGUGACUUUGGAUGGAAACGACUUGGCAGUGCUUCUCCUCAGCGUGGAAGACCAGGAGCAUCCCACCCUGGAGCUGGCACACCCACCACAGGGGUGACCAGGAUGUCUGAGCCAUGAUGCCCUGUCCCAACAAAAGAGGGGGCUCCCUCUGUCCCUGGGCAGCACGUCUCCCAUCUGGAGAUGAUGGCACGCAGUGGAGUCGUCCCACUCCUGGCUGGCAGAAAGCAGCGUUGAAAAGCCUCGCUGAGAUGUCCUCCUGGCUUAGUGUGGUCGUGGGACCUCCUGCAUCCCCAUCUGCAGACUCAGCCAGCAUUGCUUUCGCUUGCAGCUUUGGCUGCUGCUUGUGAUGACUUACAGCCUUUUUCAAGCUGGCUUUUAUUUUUAAUUACAUUUUGCCUCUGAAGAGGGGCUGCUUUGGUGGUUUGUUUUUUUUCUCUGCUUUUUAAAAUUUUUUUUUCUCUUUUCCCUUCUAAAGGCCAACAGAGUUUAGGCUUCUUCAGAAAUUGCUUCAGCUUGUAGGAAGGUGCAGAGCCUUUUCCCUGGGUAGCAAAGUGUUGAUUUCCUACCACAGGGCUGAGUGAUGGUGAUUCCCUUAUUAAACUGCACUUAGAGGCAACGACUGUCAGGCAGGGAUGGAGAGCUUCUCCGAUAAGUUGGAGCU